CCUACGGGAGGCAGCAGUGGGGAAUAUUGCACAAUGGGGGAAACCCUGAUGCAGCGACGCCGCGUGAGUGAAGAAGUAUCUCGGUACGUAAAGCUCUAUCAGCAGGGAAGAUAAUGACGUUUCCUGACCAAGAAGCCCCGGCUAACUACGUGCCAGCAGCCGCGGGAAUACGUAGGGGGCAAGCGUUAUCCGGAUUUACGGGGUGGAAAGGGAGCGUAGACGGCAGCACAAGUCUGGAGUGAAAUCCCGGGGCUUAACCCCGGAACUGCUUUGGAAACUGUGCGGCUGGAGUGCAGGAGGGGUGAGCGGAAUUCCUAGUGUAGCGGUGAAAUGCGUAGAUAUUAGGAGGAACACCGGUGGCGAAGGCGGCUUACUGGACUGUAACUGACGUUGAGGAUCGAAAGCGUGGGGAGCAAACAGGAUUAGAUACCCGUGUAGUC
rnacentral:rRNA from 1 species